rnacentral:rRNA from 1 species
GACGAACGCUGGCGGCGUGCUUAACACAUGCAAGUCGAACGGAAAGGCCCUGCUUUUGUGGGGUGCUCGUGUGGCGAACGGGGGAGUAUCACGUGAGUAAACUGCCCUUGACUUUGGGAUAAAUUCAGGAAACAGGGGCUAAUACCGGAUAGGAGCUCCUGAUGCACGGUGGUGGAUGGAAAGAUUCGGCGGUUGGGGAUGGACUCGCGGCUUAUCGGCUUGUUGGUGGGGUAGUGGCUUACAAAGGCUUUGACGGGUAGCCGGCCUGAGAGGGGGACCGGCCACAUGGGGCCUGCGGUACGGCCCAGACGCCUACGGGCGGCAGCAGUGGGGAAUAUUGCACAAUGGGCGGAAGCCUGAUGCAGCAACGCCGCGUGCGGGAUGACGGCCUUCGGGUUGUAAACCGCUUUCGCCUGUGACGAAGCGUGAGUGACGGUAAUGGGUAAAGAAGCACCGGCUAACUACGUG